rnacentral:rRNA from 1 species
ACCUCGGAUCAGGUAGGGAUACCCGCUGAACUUAAGCAUAUCAAUAAGCGGAGGAAAAGAAACCAACAGGGAUUGCCUCAGUAACGGCGAGUGAAGCGGCAACAGCUCAAAUUUGAAAUCUGGCUCUUUCAGGGUCCGAGUUGUAAUUUGUAGAAGAUGCUUUGGGUGUGGCUCCGGUCUAAGUUCCUUGGAACAGGACGUCAUAGAGGGUGAGAAUCCCGUACGUGACUGGNUGCCUUCGCUCGUGUAAAGCUCUUUCGACGAGUCGAGUUGUUUGGGAAUGCAGCUCAAAAUGGGUGGUAAAUUUCAUCUAAAGCUAAAUAUUGGCCAGAGACCGAUAGCGCACAAGUAGAGUGAUCGAAAGAUGAAAAGCACUUUGGAAAGAGAGUUAAACAGUACGUGAAAUUGUUGAAAGGGAAGCGCUUGCAACCAGACUUGCGCGCUGUUGAUCAUCCGNGCUUNUGCCCGGUGCACUCGGCAGCGCUCAGGCCAGCAUCGGUUUUGGUGGGCGGAUAAAGGCCUUGGGAAUGUAGCUCUCUUCGGGGAGUGUUAUAGCCCUCGGUGCAAUGCGCCCUACCNNGAC